AUUGAACGCUGGCGGCAGGCCUAACACAUGCAAGUCGAACGGUAACAGGAAGCAGCUUGCUGCUUUGCUGACGAGUGGCGGACGGGUGAGUAAUGUCUGGGAAACUGCCUGAUGGAGGGGGAUAACUACUGGAAACGGUAGCUAAUACCGCAUAACGUCGCAAGACCAAAGAGGGGGACCUUCGGGCCUCUUGCCAUCGGAUGUGCCCAGAUGGGAUUAGCUAGUAGGUGGGGUAACGGCUCACCUAGGCGACGAUCCCUAGCUGGUCUGAGAGGAUGACCAGCCACACUGGAACUGAGACACGGUCCAGACUCCUACGGGAGGCAGCAGUGGGGAAUAUUGCACAAUGGGCGCAAGCCUGAUGCAGCCAUGCCGCGUGUAUGAAGAAGGCCUUCGGGUUGUAAAGUACUUUUCAGCGGGGAGGAAGGCGAUAAGGUUAAUAACCUUGUCGAUUGACGUUACCCGCAGAAGAAGCACCGCUAACUC
rnacentral:rRNA from 1 species